rnacentral:rRNA from 1 species
AACAGCUGGAAACGGCUGCUAAUACCGAAUACGUCUUUUCAUCGCAUGGUGAGAAGAAGAAAAAGAACGGCCUCUACACAAAGCGGUCGCCGAAGGAGGGGUUUUGCGUCUGAUUAGCUAGUUGGAGGGGUAACGGCCCAACAAGGCGACGAUCAGUAGCCGGUCUGAGAGGAUGAACGGCCACAUUGGGACUGAGACACGGCCCAGACUCCUACGGGAGGCAGCAGUGGGGAAUCUUCCGCAAUGGACGAAAGUCUGACGGAGCAACGCCGCGUGAGUGAAGACGGUCUUCGGAUUGUAAAGCUCUGUUAUACGGGACGAACGGCAAGGUGGUAAAUAGCCAUCAUGAGUGACGGUACCGUAAGAGAAAGCCACGGCUAACUACGUGCCCAGCAGCCGCGGUAAAAU